rnacentral:rRNA from 1 species
GACGAACGCUGGCGGCGUGCCUAAUACAUGCAAGUUGAGCGCUGAAGGUUGGUACUUGUACCAACUGGAUGAGCAGCGAACGGGUGAGUAACGCGUGGGGAAUCUGCCUUUGAGCGGGGGACAACAUUUGGAAACGAAUGCUAAUACCGCAUAAAAACUUUAAACACAAGUUUUAAGUUUGAAAGAUGCAAUUGCAUCACUCAAAGAUGAUCCCGCGUUGUAUUAGCUAGUUGGUGAGGUAAAGGCUCACCAAGGCGAUGAUACAUAGCCGACCUGAGAGGGUGAUCGGCCACAUUGGGACUGGGACAAGGCCCAAACUCCUACGGGAGGCAGCAGUAGGGAAUCUUCGGCAAGGGACGAAAGUCUGACCGAGCAACGCCGCGUGAGUGAAGAAGGUUUUCGGAUCGUAAAACUCUGUUGGUAGAGAAGAACGUUGGUGAGAGUGGAAAGCUCAUCAAGUGACGGUAACUACUCAGAAAGGGACGGCUAACUACGUG